rnacentral:lncRNA from 1 species
GCAUGUGUGCUUUUAUAAGGUGUUGAUUCUGAUCGCCAUAUCGUCGGAUUUGAAGUUCUCACUGUUGAAAAUUCUGGUUUCCAGAUGGGCAUGCUUUUCCAAAACCGUGUUUUCUGAAAUAGCGUUGAGGGGGGAAUCCGUGAUAUUGAAAUGAAGGCUCCUUCGCUGGAAAAUUGAGAUGGUUGUUGACAGAUUUCUUGCAAAUAGUGUAAUAAUGGGUUGAGAAAGCAGCCUUGGAAGAAGGGGACAUUGACGGACUUGAAAGCCUAUCUAUUUUCUCUUCAGGUAAAUUGUUUUAGUUUGUGAGAUUAUGGAAUAGGAACAAAGUGGAAUUCAUAUAAAUUGGCUUAAUUGCCUGCUUUUUUUCCAGUGCUUUGGAGCUCUCAAACCCCCCAAAUAUAAUCAAGGUGCUAAUUUUUAAAUACAGUAUUUCUACUUGAGUCAGUUUUCCAUAAUGCUCAGAGCUCAACCUCAUGUAGUUGUUUGAAUGCAGUAAUCCAGGGCCAGCCUCUGCCAGAAAUUAGGCACUAUGGCCCUGUUUCAAAAGAGCACAUACAAACAAGAUGUUCUUGUGUGUAGAUGGGUAUAGUUUUAAGGGUAUAGUUUUACGUAUAUGCAUAUUGUGCUAUAGGAAUAUGAUUUUAGCUACUUGUAACAUUCUGGGUUGUAAGUCUUUGAAUAUAAGGAAAUAAAUAUACAUAUACUCCAGAUUUAAAGACCUAGAAUCCUGCUACAGUUAGUCAUGACUAAUGCCAUACACACUUACCUGGGAAUGAUUCCCACUGAACACAGUAGGACUUCCUGACUAAAUAUGUGUAGGAUCAUAUUGGACAUUCAAGUCAAAGCAAUGAAAAUUCAGUUUCAUUUGUUUCAAAGAGAUUUAGUAAAGACAAAAUUAGACAUAUUUGCCAGGUAGUGACCAAAACGUGUUGGGUAUCAUUUAUCCUGAAAAAUAAUUGCACAGUUUGUAGAGAAGAGACACUAACUUUUUAAAAUUGUAUGUGUUUUCAAGUAUUAUUACAGGUAGCAGGUCCUAGAUACCAAAGCAGUAGUAUACCCACAAGCAGAUUGUUUCGGUGCAGAAACUUAGGGGUAACACAUUUCUCCAUUAACUAAAAGUGUCAUUAAAUUCUUCAUUUACUAUAUGUUUAGGAAUUAUGGUAUGGUGAAUUUUUUUGUUAAAAAAUCCAGAAUACUUGACUUGUAUAAAAUAUAGGUUGAAAUGUUAUGAAUUUAAUUUCUUCACAUAAGAUGUAUUCUGAGAAAAAUGUUGGUAAAAAGUAUUUGCGGGCAAUUUAAAGUAUGUUGCAAAAAAAGCAUAAGAAUUAAUCUCAUAUUUCAUCUGUAAAUUAUUUACAAGCUAAAUACUUGUUUGGUCAUAAACUGUAUGUAGUUGUGCUCUUAAAUUUAAAUUUAGGGUGUUACUUAAAUAAACCUAAGUAAAUUAAUGGACCUAACUUAGUCAUAUUCAUUAAUUUCAGUGGGUCUACUCUGUGUAGUACCACCCUCUACAGGUUUUCAUUCAGUCAGGUCUAUACAUUAAAACAUAGUUUGAAGACUAUAACAAAACAAGUUUAGUUAAAUGUGGUUUUCUCAGAUAUUGAAAUAUUAAUAUAUUUUAAUAAGGCAGAUCCAAAAAAUAUCUGCUCAGAUACACUUUGCCUUGUGCAGUCAGGAUUUCCUUUUUAAAAUGUAGACUGUUCAUACUAAGUAUAAAUGUAAAGAGCCAAAUUGUGCCCUCCUGUGGAAAAAGCACAAAAAGCCCAGAAAACUUUUGAGUUAUUUCUAGGCAACCUUAGCAGGAAAUUCCCAUAUUUGCAAACCUGCAUUCUGAAAAUGAAUCCAGAAACAGACACUAACAUAUCCAUGCUGCCCUGUAAUUAAUACAGAAAUCAGCACUACUACGAAAGUUUAGAUGCAGGGUGAACAACAUAAAUACUGUACUGAGCAUCAUAUAUAAUAUCAUGAGUUGCAGAGUUACAGCCUAUUUACAAAGUUGUUUCUGAAUGUAUUAAGCAUAUUAUUUCCAUCAAGAGCAUACCUGGUGACCAAAGCUCCUAGACCUGUUAUACCUUUUGCAUAAUUUAAUAUAAUAAUUUCAAUAAACAAUUUUUCUAUUGAAAUUGAUACUUCUAAAGGAAAAGGACCACUGGACGGUUAAGUCCAGUCAAAUUUGACUAUGGGGUGCGGCGCUCAUCUCGCUUCAGGCCGAGGUAGCUGGCAUUUGUCCACAGACAGCAUUAAGGGUCAUGUGGCCAGCAUGACUAUACCACUUCUGGCACAGCGGUACACUGUGACGAGUGCCAGAGUGCACAGAAAUGCUGCUUACCAUCCCGCUGCAGCGGUUCCUAUUUAUCUACUCACGUUGGUAUGCUUUUGAACUGCUAAGGUUGGCAGGAGCUGGGACAGAGCAACAAGAGCAAACCCUGUCACUCGGAUUAAAACCAGCAAGUGGGUAGUGCUGUGGUCUAAACCAGGGGUCAGCAAGGUUUAUCUUGCCUGGGCCGGAUCGGUCAGGCAGAGAUCCCUCCGUGGGAUGGAUCAUGCACCCCCCGGCACAAUUUUUGGCAUCUGUGUCUGCGCAGAUGCAAUUUUGAAUGUCUGCGCAUGCGCAGAUGUGAUUUCCGGCACCGCAGAAGCGGGUCCCCGUGCCACACUGCGCCAGUUUAUCGCAGCACGCGAGCGGGCAGCUCUGUUCGUGGGCCAGUUGAACGACCUCUGCGGGCUGCUUCCAGCCCAUGGGCCUUAGGUUGCUGACCCCUGGUCUAAACUACUGAGCCUUUUGUUACUUCUAGAUGUCAGAAACAUUACACCAGUUGUAUCAGUAGUACAAAAUGAGUAAUACCCUCACUAAGAGAGUGUUGAGUUGGGAUACCAAAAUCUGGGUUCAAAUUCUUACUUGACUCUGAAAUUCACAGUGUAUCCUUGGGCAAGUUAACCAAGCCUAGCUUGCAAGAAGCCCAAAUAAUAGUCUUUUACUUUAAAGGCAAAGACUCAGGCAGCAGCAUUCAUGAACACAAUACAUUUUUUUAGUCUUUAAGGUGUCACAUGAUCCUUUUUGUAUUUGCUUUUAUACACUAACACAGCUAACCCACUGGAAUUUGCAAUUUCACAGGAUAAAAUGCUUUUCUAACCUUGGGAUACAAAUGGAGCAACUUAAGUGCAACAAAGAGUUUUCUGGCGCCAUAAAGACUAACAAGUUAAAAUACAUUAACUUUUAUUUAGAUGGUGAAUAGCUAAUCCAUAUACUACUCUAAUGCUUUUCAACUACUACAGUGACAACUUGACUGGUACAAACCUACAUGUCCAAUAUUUUAUAAUAAGGUUUUCACUUAUUGCAUACCUGCUUUGCUUGCCUUACACGUACAAAUGUAUCAACAAAUAGCUUUUUAGACUGGAAUAUAAUCUGGAAUUGAAGGUGAUUAAUUUGCAUUUGUAUAGUGUUUUGCAAGUUUAGGAAAUACUUGGGUUAAUGGAAUAAUUUAAAGUAAUAAGAACUGAGUGUUAUCUAAGAUAGUUUCAUAGUUACUUUGUGUAGAUAUGUCAAAAUAUUCAUGCAGCGGAGCAGAAAAAUAUUCAUUUUUUUGCAUUUUUCACACAUUCUCCUAUUUGUCAUGGUGUAAUGUUUUUAGAAUACAAUAGCCCUUUUUGGAGAAAGAGUAGGACUCUAUCAUGUCCUUGGGCCUGGGCCUACUUUACCACCCUCCAUUCCCGGUGGGGGGGGGGGGUGACACCUUUUCCUGAACUCAUGCAACUGGAAAAGGACAAUUGAAAUUAUCAAGCGGUUGGAGCAAUUCUCCUGUAUUGAAAAUAUCAUUUUGGGCUUUUUUAGUUUGAAAUGGAAGGGUUAUUAAGAGACAUUAUAUUAUGCAUAGUGUGGAGAAAGUGAAAUUUUUCUCACUUUCUCAUAAUACUUGGGGCCAUCCUAUGAAGCUGAAUGUUGGAAGUUUCAGACAGAAAAACAUUUGUAUUUUCUUACCUUUUCUUGCUUCCUCCUUACCUUGUCAUAGAUUUGUGAUUCUUUAUUCUUCCACAAAAAUGAUGCACUGCAAAUCCAUGUUUUAAGUAAUAAUACCUAAAAUAGAAUGUUUAAAAGUUUUAAUAUGCGAUAACAAUGCUUAUAACCUACUCUCAAUUUCCCUUGAACAAUGCAAAACCAGUCACCAAUUGCUAAUAAUGGUGAGAUUUUAGUCAUUCUCAGAGUAGAUGUACUGAAAUAAAUCAAGUCCAGUAACUUGUCCAUUCAUUUCAGUGAGUCUAUUCUGCAUCUAGUACCUUUAAAUUUUUUAUCUGAGAAAAAUUCUAGAUUGCAUAAUAUCAUAAAAAAAAUAAGCAGCAUUGAAGUAUACAAUAAAACAACAUACAAACAUUAAAAUCCUGAACUGAUUUAAGUCUGAAAUUCUAUAUACACUUGCUUGAUGGUAAGCUCCAUUUAAUUUAAUGGUUCUUAAUGGGUCUUACUUUUGAGUAGACAUGCAUAGCACUACAUUAUUAAAGUUUGCAGCCGUUCUGGAAGCACAUAAACAAAAGGCCCAUCAUUAGGUAAACCCAUAUGAUCCAGCCAAACAUCUCCUCAAGAGUACCUUUAAAAAAAAUCCAAAAUAUUUAAAUCCUAUAGAACUUAGCAAGGAUUAAGAGAACAACUGCCCCAUAGGACUUCAGAGAACUAAUUUCACGUGAUUAAUCAUUUUUUUAAAAAAAACCACACACCACAACUAUGUGUUUUACUCAGUUUAUAUUAGGUGUGUUUAGAAAUUACUCUUUCCUCACCUGCUCAUUGCCAUCAAUUACUCAGAAGGUAAUCCUUGUCUCUCAUAUGGGCUGAAUAUCUAAUGCUUGCUCAUUAAAUACACUUCAAAACCACCUUUUAAUUACAAAUACGCAAAGCAGUGAACAACAUUUAAGCAAAUGUCUCUCUUGAUAGUUCCCUUUUUUAUCUCAUUAUCAUGAAGAAAAUCUGGAAAUUACCCUUGCUUGAAUAGUGAUACUGAUGUCAAAUGGCGCUCCCAACAGACCUUACAAUAUGCUAUAUCCUCAAAAUAAUUAAGAGGGACUCAUAAAGUCUCCUAAGAUAUAGCUAUGAAGCCCUGUAAGAUUUCCAGAGUGGCCCUAUGACUUGAAGAAAUCCUUCGCCUUUCUAUUCCCCUCAGACAACGGACUAGGCCACUAAACAACUUUUAGGAAAGAGUCCAUAUUUGCCCUCAAAUAUUUACCUCAGGUUUGACCAUUUUCUUUCAUAGAUGUAUACUUUAACAUUUUUACAAUGAUAUUAUGGAUUCAUUUAUAACGUUUUUAAAAAAGAAAUAUGCAAAUUAAUGGAUAACAAUAAGUCAUCUUCCUUUUUUAUCUGGGUAAUGGUACGGUCCAGUGAAGUUUCUCUCAGGAGAAUGAAGAGAAAUGAUUCUGUUUCUUCUGUUGUGCCAAAGCAUACAGAACCCAAGAAUCAGACAGCUAGAUCACACUUAAUAUGAGAUUUUAAAGAAAUUAUUGGCUUUUAAAGAUUCUCAUAAUCUUUUAAACAUUAAUUUGUGUAUUCAGAAAUAUAUGUCACUCCAUGAUGCAUUUUUUUAAAAAACAGAACUGCUAUUAAAAAAAACAACCCAAAAAACCAUAACAACAUAAAGAAUGUGAUUUGUAAUUUAAACACAUACACAUCCUUUUUCACGUAAUAUAUGCAGUUCUAGACAUUAAUGUUCAUUAAUGCUUUAUGCACUCUAGUGUUUUGAAAAACAUUUUUCAUGCUUUUUGUCUAAUAUCACCACUGGGACACAUUUUCCUGAGGCAGACAGUGCUUUAUAUCUCCCAUUAAGUAAGUUUCAGUUCUUUAAAAAGUAAAUUAAGAAAAUAGGAUGAAAAGCCUAGUACCCAGUAAUUCAUAUCAGACAUGCAACCUGAUCCCAUGCUUGUUUACUCAAAAGUAAGUACCACUAAGAAAUGGAGUCUGCUCUCAAGUCAGGUUCAACUCAUUAGCCACACUUGGCUAACAUGAUGGGACUUUUUAUCUGAGAAAGACAGAGGAUUGAGCUGUUAGGCUAUAUUCCAUGAAUCGUGUACCUGUAACUUCAAAUCACUGAAGGGGAAACUGCAGAUAUUUGUGUAAAACUGACCCGUUUAAUUAUAAUAAAAGAUGAGAGGU